rnacentral:misc_RNA from 1 species
GAUGAAGAACGUAGCGAAAUGCGAUAAGUAAUGUGAAUUGCAGAAUUCAGUGAAUCAUCGAAUCUUUGAACGCACAUUGCGCCCCCUGGUAUUCCGGGGGGCAUGCCUGUUCGAGCGUCAUUUCAACCCUCAAGCUCUGCUUGGUAUUGAGUCCAUGUCAGCAAUGGCAGGCUCCAAAAUCAGUGGCGGCGCCGCUGGGUCCUGAACGUAGUAAUAUCUCUCGUUACAGGUGCUCGGCGUGCUUCUGCCAAAACCCCAAUUUUUCUAUGGUUGACCUCGGAUCAGGUAGGGAUACCCGCUGAACUUAAGCAUAUCAAUAAGCGGAAGA